AGUUAGGGGCCCGAGGCGGGUGGCCCGAGGCAGCUGCUGAGUUUGGGGCUGGAGGGGCGGGGGCCUGAGGCGGCUGCUGUGUUAAGGGCCGGGGGGGCGGGGCCUGAGGCUGCCGCUGAGCUCGGGGCUGGGGGGAGCCCGGGCCUGGGACGGAGGGGGCGGGGCCCAAUGCUGCUGCUGAACUCCCCGAAGAGGGCUGGGCUCAGUGUGACCCCACUCGCUUGCAGCCGGCAGGACCACGACCAGUGAGGAGCUGGAGGACAUGCUGGAGAGUGGGAACCCCGCCAUCUUUGCCUCUGGGAUCAUCAUGGACUCCAGCAUCUCGAAGCAGGCUCUGAGCGAGAUUGAGACGCGGCACAGUGAGAUCAUCAAGCUGGAGAACAGCAUCCGUGAGCUACACGACAUGUUCAUGGACAUGGCCAUGCUCGUGGAGAGCCAGGGAGAGAUGAUUGACAGGAUCGAGUACAAUGUGGAACACGCGGUAGACUAUGUGGAGAGGGCCG
rnacentral:lncRNA from 1 species